rnacentral:rRNA from 1 species
UACGGAGGGGGCAAGCGUUGUUCGGAAUUACUGGGCGUAAAGGGCGCGCAGGCGGCUGCUCAAGUCAGGCGUGAAAGGCCUGGGCUCAACCCGGGAAUUGCGCUUGAGACUGGGCUGGCUUGAGUGCGGGAGAGGAUGGUGGAAUUCCCAGUGUAGAGGUGAAAUUCGUAGAUAUUGGGAAGACACCGGUGGCGAAGGCGGCCAUCUGGACCGCAACUGACGCUGAGGCGCGAAAGCGUGGGGGAGCAAACAGG